AAGCCUUUUGCUAUCCACAAGCGGAAACACCAAGCAAGCCAGCCUAGGACUCCCCUCAGAAGGGUCUCAGCAAAAGUCCAGCUCAGCUCCUGACAUUGUGCGGCAUGAAGUCCGGAGGAACUGAACAGUCGGAGAGCUGGCUGCAAUGAAUUUGACGGUUUGUUUUUUUUUUUUUCCCAAGGCCGACAAAUCUUAUCCAGGAAUCUGCCUUUAUCUUGGUCUGUCGGAAAUGCUCGGACUUUUAAAUUCUAUUUUGUUAUUGUUUGGAAUUUUUGUUGUCAGACAGGGUCUUUCUAUAUGCUCCAAGCUAAUCUGCAAUUCCCCGGCCUCAUUCCCUGAGUGUUUAUAUUUACAGGGAGAAAAGACGUGUUCUCUGCUCCAUUUCUCUGAACUGGACCAAUGCAAAGAUUGGACCACGCGGAAUCCUGGGAUUGUGUCAGUUACAUAAGCAAACUUUAGUCUCUGCUGAGAUUUAGAGUCAAGAUCAUGAACAUUCCACCCUCCAUUCGUCAGCUGCCUGAGUUUCUAUUCUAGGAGGUGGCUUGCACUACAUCAGGAUGCAGAAGAAGAUAUAGUAAGAGCCUACCUAGACUUCUCAAGAAAGUUUCCUGAAAGCAAUAUUUUCCUUUGUCGUACUAGUCUCAAGGAUGCUGGUCUCAUCUUCCUACUGUGUGGCCUGUAAUCACCUCUAUCUACAGCACCACUCUCUAUGAGUCCCUUCUGUGUGCUGGCCUUUGUCACAGUCUGGGUCACAGUGGUGAUUCCCAGCAGUGAAGGGGUGGGGUGUCUGGAGCCUUUGUAUAAACACAGUAGUCUGCUGGGAGCAUUGAUGAUUAUUGUUGAUGACAAUGAGAAAAAAAAUGAAGUUAACCAUUUGUUUAAUGAUAGAAUAACAAUGUGUAAACCAAGAAAUAUGCCUGCUUAGCUGCCAGACUUCCAGCCAGAGAACAACUGUGAGGAAGAGAAAACCAUAGAAGAACGUUUGUCUGCAGGGAGGAGAGGACAUAGCCCCACUGUCCCCUAGGUAAAGUAGCCUGUACUCAAUUCUCAGAAAGAAGAGGAGGAGUCAGGAGAAGACAGACAGUUAAUGAGAUAUCUGAUAGACAGGGAGACAGAGUUCCUCAGGGGGCUAGUGUCCUGACAGACCUCGGGGGAGAUUCCAUGUUUUUCCAAAUAUCCAGUCUCCUAGCCAAACUCUAUACCAUGUCUUAUUUCCUUCACCCUAUCUGUAAAAUGUCAGCGUAAAACAGGGGUUCAUCUGAAACGGUUCUUCUCUCCCCCAUCCUU
rnacentral:lncRNA from 1 species